rnacentral:rRNA from 1 species
AAAAAUGAUUGCCGGACGAACUUAAUUCCUUCUUUUAAAUUGGACGCGGUUAAAGACGGACUGCUGAGUAACACGUGAGUAACCUGCCUAUUAGAGGGGAAUAACAGUGAGAAAUCAUUGCUAAUACCGCGUAUGCUCACAGUAUCACAUGAUACAGUGAGGAAAGGAGCAAUCCGCUAAUAGAUGGACUCGCGUCUGAUUAGCUAGUUGGUGGGGCAAAGGCCUACCAAGGCGACGAUCAGUAGCCGGACUGAGAGGUUGAACGGCCACAUUGGGACUGAGAUACGGCCCAGACUCCUACGGGAGGCAGCAGUCGGGAAUAUUGCGCAAUGGAGGAAACUCUGACGCAGUGACGCCGCGUAUAGGAAGAAGGUUUUCGGAUUGUAAACUAUUGUCGUUAGGGAAGAAAAAAGACAGUACCUAAGGAGGAAGCCCCGGCUAACUAUGUGCCAGCAGCCGCGGUAAUACAUAGGGGGCAAGCGUUAUCCGGAAUUAUUGGGUGUAAAGGGUGCGUAGACGGGUGUUUAAGUUGGUUGUGAAAUCCCUCGGCUCAACUGAGGAACUGCAACCAAAACUGGAUAUCUUGAGUGUCGGAGAGGAAAGUGGAAUUCCUAGUGUAGCGGUGAAAUGCGUAGAUAUUAGGAGGAACACCAGUGGCGAAGGCGACUUUCUGGACGAUAACUGACGUUGAGGCACGAAAGUGUGGGGAGCAAACAGGAUUAGAUACCCUGGUAGUCCACACUGUAAACGAUGGAUACUAGGUGUAGGAUGUAUUAAACAU